AAUUAAUGAUGUAAUGUAUUGUUAAGGUAAUAUAAUUAUUUAAAUCAAUAAAAAAGACAUUAUACUUUUUUUUAUACUGUUAUCCAUGUUUCCAAGCAAUUCUCAUUAAUAUCGCUAUUCAUGUUGCCAAACAAUCCCCAAAUGUACUUCAGUUUUAAUAAUAUAGAUUAUAGAUUUGUUGCACUUACAUGAUCAAUACUCACAUUUUCAUCCAUCAGUAUCAUUUAACAAUCAUAACCGAACAUGUUAUUCUUCACGGUCCAUUUUUGUACUAUUUGGACUCUUAUUGAAACAUUCAAAGAUUGGGAUUUCAACCCUUCAAGAAAAACCAAAGCUUCCAUGAUAAAUGUGUAAUCAGUGAAUGAAUAACAACCUUAUAUACCUGAAAAAUUAUGGGAAAUGGAAAAUGAAAACUAAAUAUUGUAAAUAAUAUCUUAGCAACUCGAUUUUCAAUAUUUGUUAGAAAAUAUUUUACCAAAUUAAGAAACUGUAUAAAUUAUAAAUAUACCGAUAGUAAUAUUUAAUAUGAAAAUAUAUUAGAAAAAAUAUACAUAACAACUAAAAAUAUACAUGAGUAUAUAAUUGAAAUUUAAAGACUUUAGAAAAUAACAAUAUUGGUAAAUAUAAAGCUGUAAAAAUGACAACUAAAAGCAUGGUCACAUUGAUGUCAAAUAAAAAAAAACAUGGUCACAAAAAUAUGAUCAAUAUCAAGAGAAAUAUAUUAGACGGCAAGAGUAUUCACUUUCUUAUCAAUUGCCUUCUUAAUUGUUUAGUAUUCAGUGUAGUUAACAUUAAUCUGCAUUUGAUACGAAUGAUUAGUAUAAGAAUAAUAGAAUAAUAACGUUGGGUUUGGUUCCCUCCUAGAUUGUCCACGUAGGCAGACACGUCACUAAUUCGAAUCUUGAGAAGUCGACACGUGCCCGCGUCCAAAACGUGGCGUUUCAUUAACUUGGAGUUGGAGAUCGUGUGGACUUUUGGUGUAACUCAUAAACAUGCCGGAAUAUUUUCGUGUGGGCUUUAGAUCAAACUAAAAAUAAUUCUUUUAACAGUAUACUUUUAUAUUUUAGUAAACAAAUAAUGCCGUAUUCUUCGUCUUAUGAAUACGUCAUAAAACAGCUCCUAUGAUAUUCUUGAUAUUCAAUCCGAUCAUACCGGUAUGAAAAAUUAAUGUAAAUCAACAGAACCGAGUACGAUGAUUUUAAUUGGAUUUACAUGUGUCGAAAAUACAAGAAAAAUGUUUUUAUUUGUUUUAGUGUGUAAAAUAGCCUGUAAAAACAAAAAAACUAGAUGAACCAAUAGGUUUAUAGUAUAUUAGUGAACGUACAUAUAAAAUGUAUAAUAUUAUAUAGUGAAUGUAAAAUUGAAUUUACUAAUUUGAUAUACAUAUACUGAGCAUUUAACAUAUGAAUAAGUUUUAGAUAAAAAAAAAUAGGAAUAAUUAUUUGCUUAAACCUAUUUACAUCAAUUAAUUUUUUAAGUUUCAUAAUUUCACAAUAAAUAGAGCUCCAAUAAUUAUUUUUUUUACCCAUUAUAUCAAUUUAUCUUUUAAAGGUCCAUGAUUUCACAAUAAAUAGUGCUUCUAACUUCUUCUUUUUUUUCAUACAAUAGCGCAAACAUAUUAUUAUAUAUUACUCAUACUUAGCUAUUUGUAUAAACAAACACUCUGAUAUUUGAAAAUUUUGAACGAUUCCCUUUGUACGGUAAACAUUUUUAUUUCAAAGUAUUAAUACCCCAAUGAAAAAAUAUAUUUUGCAAGAUAAUUACACGCAUCUGCAGCAUAAACUCUUUAUUAGAUACGAGAAUGGAUUCUAUAAAAAAAACGUCCAUGCAAUAUUAUCAUUUAAUUUAAAUAUAUUGUUAAUUAAUAAAGAUAGUUUUCACAGUAUUAAUAACUUUUAAAUUAAUAGUAAACUCUAUCUAAUAAAUUCUAAACUUAUUUAAUAACGAUAGACCGUAUUCAAUUUUAAGAGUGGCAGAGAAGUUGAAGUAUGACCUUCAUUAGGAAAACUAUCACAUUUUAAUUAAAACAUAGACAGACCAAGCUACUCACACUAACAAAAGGUUGUUUUGGCUUAGAUAAUAUAGGUUUUUCCUUAACAUAUUUCUCUGGCAUUGCAUAACUAUAUGCAUACAUCAUUAAUCUUAUUAUAUUAGAUUGUUCUUCGUAGAAUAAUGAAACUUACUGUCAUUUUAAUUCAGUCCAAAAAUAUUUAUUAAAAAUAACAACAUGAUCUCCAAAUUUUAUUUAUUUAUUUUUGUUUACAAUAUCGUCUUCAAUCUACAAUUUCUUUUAAAAAUGCUUCAUAAAAUUAAUGUAAAUUCAUAUAAAAUAUCUUUUUCUAACUUCCCACCCGUAGGGCAGGCCGACCCUAGUGAUAGAAUAAAUAAAUGAAGAGGCAAAUUGUGUGAGAAUUUUAGGUAAUAUUAAGAAAUGAAGAACAUAAAAAUAUACAUCAGAUGUUUGGAAGUUUUACAUCCGAGUAGUUAAGAAGGGAUCCCGAUUCAUUACAUAGAAAAUAUUGAGAAGAUGAACUUUCCAUGAGAAGAUAGAUUUGAUAAUUUAAACAUAAUAUUAAACUAAAUUUCAAAUAUAUUAAAAAAAUAUUUGUUUCUGGCAUUCCUUAAAGGAAUAUAUUUCUUUUGUAUUCUAUUUUUGAAAAAGCUUUACUAAUGUGAAUAAAUAGCAACCUAUACAGUAAUUUGGUCAUCAAAUCUAUAGAUUAAACUCUAAAUAAACCCUAAAUUCCUGAAAAUAUAAACCAUAAAGCAUAAAACAUGUCUCUUUUUCAAUGGAAUCACAUAAUACUGGAAACAGUCAAAUUUUGUGUAUCCGAACGACAUAUUUUACUUAAACCAUACCACAUGAUUAAUCAUAUAUAAAGUAUAUACUGUAUGAUAUAUUAAUUUGGUCUUAAAACCUAUACCUAAACCCCAAACCAUACCCUAAAUGUCUGCAAUCAUAAAUCAUAAAUCAUAAAUCAUGGAACAUCUUAUUAAAACAGAAGUCAUUACUUUUUUUAUGUGUGAUAUUUUAUUUUGGACCAUCUCUUAGAAAAAUUAUCACAUUUAAUUAUUCUAUCAUUUAGUUUUAUAAUAGAUAUAAUCACAAUUAUAUCUUAUUAAUAUCUUAAUAAAAUCAACAAUAUACUAUUUUUGAGGAGAAUCUCAAAUUUGUUUACUCUUAAUAUAUGCUAAAUUUAAAAAUCUGUAUUCAAAACCAAUAAAAUAAAUAUAAUUAAAUAUACCAACAGAUUUAAGAAAAACAAUUAUAACCUAUUAAUCUAAUAACUAUUAACAGCAUAUAUAAUUAUUUUGUAGGCCAUUAACUAUUUUGUAGGUCACAUCAUUAACAAACAAAUUCAUAUGUUAUGCAAUCAUAAUAUAUGAUUAUAUACAUAUGAUCGUGUAUAUUAUUUUUAAUAUUAUGUGAUGCAACCAUAACAUAUAAUUAAUGUUAUUAUUUUGAUGAUGUCAAAAAGUAUCACAACAUGUGAUUGUUCUUUAAUAUUAUUAACAAUUUUUAUCAAAUUAAUACCAUUCUAAAAACAUAUAAUAGAAUUCUUUCAUAAUCAUAUAACUAAAUUUAAAUAUAUUUAAUACCAUUAUCUAGAAUGAUGUUCAAACGUUAAAUCUAAAUUGAAAAAUAAUUUGACAUAUAAAAUAAAAUCUAUAUAAUAGAAAAAAUAUAGCAUAUUUUGUCUGUGAAACAAAUGCAUUUACAAAUAUAGAUGUACUAAUAUAUAUAAUCAACUAAAUGACACUAUUUCCAUUUUUAUUACUUUGAAAAUUAGUUUUGUUCACACAAAUUAAAGAAAAAAAUUAGUUUUCUAUUUUAUCUAACCAAAAACAUCAUUAACUAUUCACAUAAUCAUAAUUCAACCAAUAAAAACGCUAACUGGAGAAUAUAAAAAGUUAUACAGAAGGAAAAACGAAUAAACUUGCAUUGAAAAUUGAAAAUGUCCUCUAAUUUGAAGUGAAAAGAAUUCUCUAAAACGUCAUAUAUAAAAAUCAAAGUGAAUAUGUUCUACAAACAAAAACAUUAAAAAAUUUGUAUUUUGCAUAAAAUUAUCAAAUUACAAGUUACUUAUCUAACAUAUCAAUUUGAUUGUUUUACCAUGCAAAACCGAAAUAUUCAACCGACAUAGCUUACAAUUUCCCCAAUUUAAUUUGAAAAAACACAUGCGCGGUUGCGCUGAUCAAAAUCUAGUGUCAUUUUUACAAUGGAAUCACAUAUUAGUGGCACAAGAUAAAUAAUUUUUUUUGUGUCCGAACGGCAUAUGUUACUUAAGCCAUACCAUAUGUUUGGAAUCAUAGAAUAUGUCACUUUUGUAUAUACAAUAAUAUGAUUCAAAACCAUACCAUAUGAUUUUUAAAAAGAGUUAGGGAACCAAACAAUAAUUAAAGGGUGACAGUCAGCGAAUUUUGAUUAGAAUAACGAGGAUAGAUUAACACAAACCGAGAUUGAGAAAACGCUAAUUAAUAACGAUUUAGGGAAGAUAAUCCCCGCAUUAGCUACGUCACCAAGUUUAGAGAGGCUUAUCCGAGGUGUCAUUAUGUCACAUAUGACUCAUCAAUACAUGUCAUAUUGCCAAGUGAAAUUUAAAAAUUGGUUAAGAAACUAACGGUAAAAGAGCUCCAGUGGUAAUGGAAUUCUAGUUGAUCAAGUGGUAGAGUAAAUAUGGCACAGAUAGUUGGUCAAUGUUAGUCGAAUCCAGAACGGAAGCUCCAGCUCGAGCUCAUUUAUCACUAGGCCAAAACAACUUGGUUUAAUCAAGUUAUUAUGUUUUUAUUUAAGUGUGUUCUCUUACUGUUCCUUUUAACAAAUGAAUGAAAUUUAUGUAAUUUCUUUUUUUGAGAAAGGAAUUUUUUGUAAAAUUAGCAAUUGUUGAUGUAUUAAAUUGGUUAUAGAUGUGGUUUGUUAUUGAAUUGUGUCGUUCCAAUCACCAUUAAACAAAAAUAAAAUAUAGAAAUCUCCUAAAGAAGAAAAAUUGGUCGGGAAGAAUCUAACAAAAAAAAGGAGGUUGUAUAUAUGUUUGUCUUCUUGUCGAUGGCGAAUACACAGAAGAAUCGUUGCUUCGAAAUAAACUGAAAAUGAUAUAACAUUAAAGAAUUAAAUCGAGUAAUUCAAAGAUGAUUAGGCGGGACCCACUCUAUGGGACUAAGUAAAUGUCAACUCAAACAGAAACAAAGCGAAUCUCUCAAAAUAUAUAAUUUUAGUUCAUUGACGAAUAAGUCGCCGUCUUCAGACAACGCGGUUCAGAUCUUCUUCAGCUUGUUCUCAUUAAUUUUUCUUCAUCUGAUUAUUAUUGGAAUCUAAAUACGAUGUGUUCUAGAAGCUUGACGCAUUUGUAUUAACCUCUAUUAUCUAUAAUAUAUUGCAUUUCUACCAAACUCUCUUUAUCAUCGUUCCUUUUUCGAUAACCAACUCUUUUUAAUCUUUGUUUUCGAGUGUUUGUUGAAAUGUAGUUUCUACAUUUCUCAUUUGUUUUGGUAAUGUUGACCAAGCGAUUUGUUGACUAUGUUGCUAAUGCUUGGAAAAGAAGGACAAGAGAGUGUUAUCCUUGUAGAAUCGUUUUAAAUUACCAAACCAUUUGGUAAUUUUGACCAAAUCAUUAGUCACCUUAUUGAUAUUAAUGUCAUCCUACUUGUGUCACGAAGAUUGUAGUUUUUAUAUUUUAUUUGUUUCACAAAGAUAAUAGUUUUGGGGUUUCAACGUAACUUUAUAGUUUUUGUCAAUUUUGUCCACAUUAAUUAAGACAAUUACUACAUGUAAUAUUUUUAUUAUAAAUUACUAUGUAUUAAACUAGGAUUAUCGCCAUGCCAGAGCUUUGGAACAGAAUGCAGGGAGCAGAUUGCAAUGGUAAAGAAACCUCAGAAGUGGCUAAGCUUCACGACAUAAUUAGAAAAAAUAGAAACGCUGCAGACUUGUUUCCCGGACUUCAAGAUCUCCAUGUCCCACGAGUGUGCAAUCAGUUUUCUGACUUUUUAGUUAAGACUGCUAAGAUUUUUCGUAGGGAGUUAUUUUUUAUUGGUUAUUCUAUUCUUAUAUGGUUACCCAGACCACUUCAAGUUUGAGUAAUAGAAUGGUCGUUCGACUUUAAAAAAAAAAAAGAAUUAUCGUUGAUAUUGCAACUUUAUUUUUAAAGUGCGUGAAAUCUCUAAAACUACAAUUUUAGUGGAAUGGAGGAAGUGCUUUUUCUCUAAAAUGUUGAAUUUGCUCAUAAGUUCAUAAAUGAUCGCAUCUUUCUAGAAAUUAUUUCUUUUAUCGCAACAUCUAUUUACUAAAGAAGGCUAGUUCUGGUAAAAUUUUAAAUUAAUUUAUCAUAAAAAUAAAAGGCAAAUUGAAUAUUAUUCAAAAAGAUGGGAUCAGUUGGCAUGACCUCAUAGAAUAGAGAUGGGCAAAUGUUUUGUUAUUUGUUUGUAACUCAACUUUCGAGUGAUUUGAUGACAUUGUAUUUAACCACUGAUUAUGACUUCAUUAAAAAUUAAAGCCAUAUAUGAGAACACUAUAGUCAUGCCUACUUUAAAAGCUGAGAAAAAAAACACUAAAACAAACAAACAAAUCUAAUCUAUUAAUUUAAAAUUCUAUUUUUAUCUACUUGUAAAUAAUCUAAGUUGAACCAUUACAUUUAACUCGCUUUCAUAUUAUUUCUACUUAUACCUAACUUAGUUAUUAUUAAAUAUAUAUCCUAACUUAAAAUUAAGGAACUAAAUAACUAAUCUCUUAUUUUAAAUUAUGAGUUCAAUUUAUAUUAACACUAAUUUUACGUAAAUAAUCAAUUAUAUUUUAUUUAUUAAUAUAAAAAAUAUAUACCUACUAAUUCAUAUAUACAACUGUACUUUAGUUCAAAUGUAAGAAACAAAUUCCUUAAAAUCUUCACCAAAUACAUAAUAAUAUAUCUUAUGGAUAAAGUAUUAAAACUAUAGAUACAUAUAUAUGAUAAAAUAAAUAAUAAUGGUCAUUAAUAUUUAAUGAUAUGCUUGAACAUGUUAUUAUUAUUGAUAUUUUUUAAUGAAUAUAGGUUAUUCCAACACAUAUAAAAUAUUUAUCAAAUAUAAAUCUCACUGAACAAAACAUAAAAUAUAUUUUAAGUUAGGUUUGAGCAUUCAGGUAUCCGUUGUGAUACAAGUUGCAUAUUUGGAAUUUCAGUUCUAAUUUAUAUCACAUCAUAGGUCUCAUUCUGGUAAAUUUGUAAGUAAGGAUCAUGUUCAGAUAUAACACUUCAGUUUUAUUUCUAAAUAUCACAUCUAAAAUCUAUAAAAUAACAAUAUAUUGUUCCGAUUCAGGUUAUAUGGAUUCGGCUCAGACAUAUCCGAAAUUAAAUCCAAAAUUGAAAAGAAAAACAUAAGAAAUAAACUUAUUUGUAUAGGAUUGGUUUAAAGUACUUAUUGAAGAUUUAAAUACUUAUUUUAAUAUAUAGUUUCAAAAUAAAUAUAGAAUUGAAUAUUUUAAGUACAUAUUUAUGUUUCAAAUAAUUUGUAUUUGCGAUAAAUUUGGAUUUUCGGAUCGGUUUUUUGGAUUUCUUGGGGAUUUUUUUCUGGGUUUUCUGGUAGCACGUUCGAGUUCGGCUAAUAACACUUCGAGUUCGGAUAUGUGGUGUACCACACUACGAGACCUAUUUUUAAAUUUCUUAUGUUUCGGAAUGGACACAGAUCAGGUUUUUUGGUUUGAGUUAGGUAUGGACUUUGAGUUACGAAUUUUAUGCACAUGUCUGCUUUAAAUGAAGAGAAAAUACGAUUAUAUAAAAAAAUUACCUAAACAAUAUUAUGUGCUUUAGCGCGGGUGAAAAUCUAGUAGUAUCUUAAAUCAAACGGUUAUUUUAAAGGUUAGUUUAUAAAGAAAAUUUAUAACUAAACAUGGACUAUUAUUAAAAAAAACGUAAAAAUAAAAUGGAUUUUCAGAAAGUACUAUUAAAUAACUUUCAUACUUCGAAAAAUGAUUAUAAAGUGAAACCAGAAAAUUUUGAGAAACUAUAUGUAAUUCUAAUAACAGUUUGAUAGAAGAGUAUAACUUUCAGUCACUCCUUCUAUACUCGAAUUUUUCUUUUGUAAAAUUAUUUAAAAAAUUAUAUAAUUCUUCCUUAUAAUCAUUUACUUUAAACGAUCAAAGACUAAUAAACUAAAAGAUGUAUAGUUUUUUUGACAAAUAUAUUAAAUUUUGAGACAUUUGGUUAAAAUAUAAAAAUUGAUAACUCAAUUGUUCUACUAAACCUUUGUUUAUUAAAUUGGGGAAUUAAGAUUUGCAUUUAUGUAAAUUCAUUUUUUUCCAAAUAAUCGAUCAUUUGAAGUUGUUCUUUCAUUGAAGAAAACUUGAGUUUGUCAAUAAAGGUUUUUGUUAUAGGCAAAGUUACAGUAAAACAUAUAAUUCUUUAGAAUCUCCUCUUCUCUCAUUCAUUCAACGCUUUUGAUCGUUCAUAUUUUUAUUCGCUGGAAUCAACAAAAAUUUCAUAUGUAAGUUUUCAACUGUAAGAUUUUUUAUUAGAUUGAUGAUGCUUUUUUAGCUUGGCUGGUUCUUGAUAUUCAAAAACCGCAUAAUUAAGUUGAUUAAUUUGAGUAAGCGAUUUAAUUUUUUUAUAAAAAUAAUUGGAUUGAUUUCAGUUUUGAACCGUUAAACUUAAGGCUGUUUUAAGAUUUUCUAAACAAGUUUUUAGAAGUUUAAUACCAUAUUUUGAUAGCUCUCAUCAAAAUAUUGUAUUUGAUAUAUUUUUUUUGAUAAAUACUAUCGGCUGAUCCGGUUUGUCUCGGAAGGAAUGCACUCGGUAUUGGCUACCACACUGCAUGACUCGAGUUUGGAUUAACUUGUAACUAAUUCUAGGGGAUGAACCAAUCAUUUGUUACGAUCCACCAUGUAAACUAUUUGGGUCCAAGCCCAAACCUAAACUAACUAAGUGAUGAUAUUUGUAUUUGGUAUAUUGAUUGUAAUUUCAAUUGAUUUUAGGUAUAUACACUAAAAUAAUAGUGUAAAGAAGAGAAAAAAAAAGAAAGAAACAAAGAAAGAGAAAAUGAAAUAUAAUAGAUUGAAAUUAGAUUCGAGAAUAUUCAUCUAUGUUAUGAUUGUAACUCUUAGAUUUUCAGAUUUUUUUUUGGAAAAUAAUAACUGAAAACACAGGCAAACAUACAUUUUGAAAAUCGGUAGAAAAAUAUAAAUAAGUGAAAACAUCAAUGUAAACUAGAUAGAUCAUAUAUGAACGGUUAGAACAAUGCAAAACACAUACUCUUACCAAAGUAGAUGAUAUAGCAAAAGUUAGGAUAGAAGCAAGUGUAAAAACUAUAGUAAAUUUGAUUUAUUAUAUUUUCAGAUUUAUUAUAUUUUGAUUUCUUUUACAUUUGAAUGCUUUUCUUUGUUGAGAUUUAGAUAAAAUAACUUAGUUAAAUUGUAACAAGUGUCUAUAAAUAUCUAUUGGAACAAUUAAAUUUUCAAUAUUUCUCAUUUACACAAUUUUUUUCUUAAAAACUUUACUGAAAUGAUAUUGGUUAUUACCAAACUAGUAAUUAAAUUUGACACGAGUAGACCACUCUAUCCAGCUUGUAGCUACUAGAAAUGAUGAGAAAGAAAUAAUUAUAUUUUUCAUACUUGGUGGGAUACAUAGGAGAGAUACAACUUUAGAAUACAGACCCGGCAGUACACAAUUUUGUGGUGAAAAACUCCCGUAACAUUGUUAGCGAUAACAGAAACAAGUUAUAGUAGCUUUAUUUUGGUGUUUUGAAUCUAUACUCAAUCUUCCAAAAUAUCUACAAUAUUCCGAAUUAUCAUUGCUUCUGGCUUUUUUUUGCCGUCGUAUUUUGUGAAGCACAUGUUUUAAAGCUGUCGGGGUCCAAUGGAAGAAGUUAUGAUAACACGUAUCUGUAAUUUAGUUAGAGAAAAGGGCAAAACCUAUCAUCAUCUAGAAGACUAGAAUUGGAAGCACCCACUACUGACUGAUCAACUUGUUGCUGAAUUUUUUUUUUUUUUUUUUGUCAAACGUUGCUGAAUUAUUUAGAAAACAUAAAUUAAAACUAAACAAAGUAAGUACACACGCGGUGAACGCGUGCAUGUGUAAUUAAACAUUUACAAUGUCAAAGUUGGGUUAGAAAUAUACAGCAUCCCUUGCUCAAAGAAAAAAAAAAUACACCAACCUCCGAAAACUGAAAGUUAAAAAGCAGUAGCAUUUUCAAACACUUUUGUGACAUCCCCACGAAAUAUUAUAUAUAUAACUAUGAUAAUUCCACAUGCUGCAUGAAUUUAAUCUUCUAAUAACAAAAUGUGUAAAAUUUUGUUUGGUUAUAAUAUAUGGAAAAAAAAUUUAAAAAAUUGAUUUGAUUAUGUAUAUCACCAAAAUAUACUUAUUUUUUUGUCACACAUUCGUUUAGAACUUCAAAGUUAUGUAUUCUUGAACUAGAAUAGUGGAAGGAUAUGUGAUCUACCGGAAAGUCAUUCGCGAUAUCAUAUGAGUGAGGCCAAAACAUAGAAAAUGUCAUAUGGUGAUUACAUCGUCAAUAAACAAGAUUUCUGAGCCUCCAAAAAAUUAAUGCCAUGCCCGUUGUACGAAAUGGAGCUUAUGGGCCGAGUGAGUGGGCGUGGAAGGUGGGUGAACUACCGAGAAAUCAUUGGCAGUUUCGUGUGAGUGAGGCCAAACCACGAGAAAAUUCAUGUGGUGGUUGCAUGGUCACUAAAAAAGAUUUUCGAGCCUCCAAAAAAAUUAACACACCAUCCGUCACACAGAAUGGAAGUCACAUAGUAGGAGUGAGAGUCCAUUAGCCAUGGACAGUCGGAACGUUAUAACUUUAUUUAUAUACCUUGACAGAUGAUUUAUGGGUAAGUUAAGGGUAACAUCAGGUUCUCCUACAAGCUGGAAAACAGCGUGUUGGAACACAUGUCUACUUUCGAAGGUAAACCAUUAUGUCUUUCAUUAGUUCGAAGAAUUUUGAACGUGUAUUUUUUAAAUUUACCAACUCAACAAUAUAGUCAAGUAAAAAAAUAGAAAAGAGGAGGUAAGUAAUUAGAUUAUCAAAUGAGAUAGUUUUAAACUAUAUUCCUACAUGAGCCACUAUACGACUCAAUGCAGAAUGAUACCUAACGAUCUACAUACAAUAGUUAAAUAAUGAAUCAUCCAUCCGUGACAUCCUCAUUUCAUUGCACAUUAUCAACAAACAUGUGUAUUACUACGUCUCUCUAAACAUUUUCUAAUGGCCCUACUUCCCAACCAACACUGACCACCAUUUAGUUUCCUACAUGACCACCUGCUCGUGGCCAUUUCGCUCAUCUGGCACUACCCUACUGUCAAUAGUCACAUAUGUCCUGAUUCUGCAUCUCAUAUUAAUCUUCGGACCUCACCAAUCAGAUACAACACAUAGUUCCAUGCUUAACAACAUUCAUUAUCGUUAUUAAGUUGAUACCAUUCAUUUAUCAAUCCUAGUUUGUUCAUAAUCACAAUUCAGUAUUAUCAAAAAAUCAAUCACAUUAACACAAUAACUCAUUUUAUUGUUUUAACAAUACAAGUGUUCUUAUGCACCACUCAACAUUGAUCUAAGUACCUAACAUCAAUCAACAAAGCUAACCAAUCAUAUAAUCCAACAUAAAAAAUAUAGAAAAUCAAGAGAAGAAAACAUCCCCACCUGGAUCAAAGAUGAACGAGAUGUAGAUCAGCAGGACAUGAAUAUCUAUAGAACACAUAUGAAGAACGAGACGACAAACGACGGACAACGAACAAUGACCAGUCGGUAUCAGCGUCGGCAAACUACGACAAUGAACGAGACGAAAUGAGCAACAGUUGCUGGUUGGUGAGAAACAACAACAGCGGAAGCAAGGCGUCGGUGGCGGAUAUGGAACGGGUGCUUGACACCUCAAGAUAUCUACAAGGUUUCGUUAGAUUUUUUUCUGAUAAGAAAAUAGUGAAGAGAAGAUCUUUUUCAUAAAAAAGGACAACUCUAUGUUCAAUCCUAACCGGUCUUUUACCUAGAAAGAUUUCCUUAAAAAUAAAAGGAGAGUUUGGAUUUAGAUUUUGAGAUGUUACAUUAAAUGAUAUAUUUUUUCCGCCAGAAUAUCUAAGAAAUUUAGAGUAUAAAUUCAAAUCGAAUAUAUAAUAUACCUGGUUUGUGCUGAUAAUAUAUGUGGAAGGGGUUACAAAAUCGAUUUGGUUAACUAAUACAUAAAGUGAACAUAGAUUUUUAAUAAUCAAAGAGAAUUAAAAACUUAAGCAUAAUUGGGUUAUUUAAAUUAAAUGAUGAGUAAUCUAUCAAUAAGUUGGUCAUUUUCUGUAUCGUGUGAGUGAGGACAAACACAUAAAACAGUAACAUAGUGUUUAUACAUGGUCAAUAACAAUUCUUUCGAACAUUUCUAAGCAAAUUACUGGACGUGGAACGAGAUGGACUGUAACGACCCGCUGUCGGAGUAUUUUAAUUUCUAAGAAAAUAGAUCAUGAGAGAUUUUUCUACAAAUGAAAUUAUUGCUCUAAGUAUUGAAUAUUUUUCGUAAAAUUGUUGAAGUAACAAUGAUGAAUUUUGACUAAAUGUUGAUUAUUACUUAAGAACUUGAAACAAAAUUGCCUCAGGAUGAGUAAACAUAAAAUAAUCAUGGAAUGAUGUGGAUUUCGAGUAAGGUAAGUUUGACUAGUUAUCAUUGCGAGAUUAUACAAAAGAAAUGUCGAGUUUACAGGGAUCAAUUAAGUUAAUUAUUAUAGAGAAUGGGUCAUGUCACUGGUGAUAUUUGACCAAGCCAAAUUAGAAAUCAAACAUUAAGUGCCCGACUGUGUGAUCAAGUCCAAGAAUCCAAUAAAAAUGGGUCUCGGGUUCCAUUUCUAGAAGAACUUUAAGAGGAUUUGUACAGAGAAGUUAGAAAAAUAAUGGAGUUCUAGAGAGACAAGUUUGAGAAGAAGGAUCAAACGAGGCGGAGAAAAAGUGUUAUUUGUGAGAAAACGCUAGGAACUUCAGAGUCUUUGAAUACUUGAGAUUCAUCUAAGGUGAAGACGUGAUUCGCAGAAAUCCAUUAGUUUGUGUUUUAGUAACUUUUAUUCAUAUAUUAAAGAUUAUGCGAAUGAGCACAUUGUUUUAUGGAAAAUUGGUUUUUCGUUAUUUGAAGUGAUUCUUCAAGGAUCGAAGAACUUUUUUUCGAUUUUUAUUUUUUUGCAUGUUACAUUGUGUGUGAUGAUGUUAUAUUUAAUUUGUAUGUUUAUGUGAAAAACGUAGAACUCAUAUUGAAAUGAAUUGGCAUAUUAAGUGCACAAUGUUAAGAAAAUAUAUUAAGAAUAAGAUUAAUUAAAAAAAGUAAAAGAUUAGUUGAAAUAAAUUAAAUAAGAAAAUUAUGUUUCAGUUUGGGGCAGUAUGUUGGCUUCAGUUGUGAACGACUUUCGGGUAUAUGUUGGCUUCCACUGUGAUGAACCUUUGAGGUUAUAUAUUGGAUUUGGCCGUGAUGGACCUUUGGACUUCGUAGAUUGUCAGGUUGCGUACCUUCAAUCAUAAGAACUGUUGAGUUAUUGGGCCGUCACUAGGAUUGACAUUUGGUCAUGUGGAUUGUGGAUUGGUGAAUCUUCUAUCGUAAGAACCAUUGAGUAUAACCUUUGGUAGGAUGUACCUUUGGGUCGCGUAGAUCGUUGAAUCGGUCUUUAUAUUGAAGGGGUUUUGGAUCAGUGAAUCUUCGGCUGUAAGAGUGUAAAGGGUUUAAGUAAUAAGAAAACAACUAAAUAGUAAGAAAAAUGAGUGAAAAAGAAAAUGAUGUAAAAACGGAUUGCUAUAAUGUGUAAAUUCGAAUGCAUUGGUUGCCAGGUUGCAUGUGGACGGUUUUAAGCAUCCACACUAAGAUUUUUUUGUAUGAUCAUGCCUCAUGUUGUGAUGCAUGUAAGGUUUUAUUGUACGAACCGGAGCGCCAUGGAAUAAAAACCAUAGGGAACGAAUGUUCUAAAGUUGAAUAACGAUGGGGAGUAUAAAGAAAUUAUCAUUGUAACCUACAAAUUUUCAGUAAUAGUCUUUAAUUGUAUUAAUUUUAUUAAUAAAAAUAACUUGAUUUUUAUUUAGAAUUUUCAACGUGGUUUUUAAAUAUUAUUCAAAUAUCAUAAUUAUACAGUAUUGAAAAAAUGAUUUGUAUGUAAUUUUUUUCUUAGAUAGUAAAAUAUUAUGGCUUAGUGGAGUUUGAAAGUAAGUAUUCAAGGUUAUUAGAACAUUAUUAACCCUUGCACGAGUUCUUAGGUGAAUUUUAUUUAUUUAUUUAUUUAUUUUUUAAAAAAAUUAACCAAUCGCAGGUCGCCACGUGUCAGUAGAAUUCGUGAACAGUGCUUAAACCGAGUUAGAGGCACCCCUUACAAAAGAACAUUAAAAGGUGAUUUUUAUUAAAACUGUGAGACCCACCUCUUAAGAACCAACUUAAGAAGUGGGUUAAGAGCAACAUUAUCGGCACUUCUUAGGCCCAUAUCUUAGUGUUUUUGGGUCGAAAAUUAAAUAAAAACACUUAAAAAAAUACAAACGGAUCUUAAUUAAGAAGUUUUAGGCUUGGUCCUUAAGUGCUAUGUGGCAGCAGGCGAUUGGGUGACCAGAAUCCGGCGAAGCCCAUGGCGGAGACGAAGAGCACGAUGCUGAGGGAGACGCGAGAAGAUCCGCAGAAGGCGUCUUUUUCAACGUCACAGCAACCUUCAUCUGACAAGAAACCCGAAGAUGCUGAGAUCAAGCCUCAGGAUACGGAUCAUGGUGUUUCUCCAAAGUAUCCGGGUUUGUAUCCGGGUCUUGUUCCCGGAUCGAAUCCUGGGCAGUACGAUGAACAGACGAACCGUGGAGCUGGUGUUUAUGCGGUUCCUGUACAUGUGGCUGGUCUUCCUUUAAACUAUCUCAUUCCUCUCACUUACCAUGUUCCCAUGACUAGACCAAGCAAAGAGACUGAGGCUGGGGGAGAGAACCAAGCGCAAGGUGGUCAAGUUCAGUAGCAGCAGCAACAACAUGCAGGUCAAAGGCAAGUGGUGGUACGGAGAUUUGAGAUUGCGUUUCAGCUUGACAUAUUGCUAAUACUCAAGCUUGCUGCUGUUAUCUAUUUGUUCAACCAAGAUGGAUCAAGACAACGGCUAGCUGUUCUUGUGAUUUUUGCCACCAUUAUCUACUUGUAAGCCUCUCCAUUGAUCCCUAACGUGUUGGUAAAUAAUUUGAAAUUGGGUGUUUGGAAACUUUUGACAGAUACCAAACUGGAGCCCUUGCAUCUUUUAUACCUAAGAACUUUCGAAAAGUUUCAUUGAUAAUGUUGUAUUUUACUUAAGUAUCUUAGAAAACUUCUUAGACUAAAAAUAAUAAUUAAAAAUUCUAAGAUGUUUGCUAAGAGUUGCUAUUGAUAAUGUUGCUCUAAUGCU